CCAGACUCCUACGGGAGGCAGCAGUGAGGAAUAUUGGUCAAUGGCCGCAAGUCUGGACCAGCCAUGCCGCGUGCAGGAAGACGGCUCUAUGAGUUGUAAACUUCUUUUGUACGAGGGUAAACGCAGAUACGUGUAUCUGUCUGAAAGUAUCGUACGAAUAAGGAUCGGCUAACUCCGUGCCAGCAGCCGCGGUAAUACGGAGGAUUCAAGCGUUAUCCGGAUUUAUUGGGUUUAAAGGGUGCGUAGGCGGUCGGAUAAGUUAGAGGUGAAAUGUCGGGGCUCAACCCCGAAACUGCCUCUAAUACUGUUGGACUAGAGAAUAGUUGCGGUAGGCGGAAUGUAUGGUGUAGCGGUGAAAUGCAUAGAUAUCACGCAGAACCCCGAUUGCGAAGGCAGCCUUCCGGCGCCCUACUGACGCUGAGGCACGAAAGUGCGGGGAUCGAACAGGAUUAGAUCCCCUCGUA
rnacentral:rRNA from 1 species